rnacentral:rRNA from 1 species
CUACGGGUGGCACCAGUGAGGAAUAUUGGUCAAUGGGCGCAAGCCUGAACCAGCCAUCCCGCGUGAAGGAUGACUGCCCUAUGGGUUGUAAACUUCUUUUGUAUAGGAAGAAAACUCUCUCGUGAGGGAGCUUGCCAGUACUAUACGAAUAAGCAUCGGCUAACUCCGUGCCAGCAGCCGCGGUAAUACGGAGGAUGCAAGCGUUAUCCGGAUUUAUUGGGUUUAAAGGGUGCGUAGGCGGAAUUGUAAGUCAGUGGUGAAAUGCAGUAGCUUAACUACAGCACUGCCAUUGAUACUGCAGUUCUGGAGUAUUGUUGAGGUAGGCGGAAUAUGUAAUGUAGCGGUGAAAUGCUUAGAUAUUACAUAGAACACCGAUUGCGAAGGCAGCUUACUAAGCAAUAACUGACGCUGAGGCACGAAAGCGUGGGUAGCGAACAGGAUUAGAUACCCCCGUAGUC